CCAUGUUAAAUUCCGUACAAAAUGAAAACUGAUAAAAACACAAAAAAUGCAAUGAACAAAUACGAACUUUUGGCAAUAAUUACGAUUUCGGCAGCUGUAUCAUGUGCCGCAGAUGUCCUUGAGAAAACGGGAAAAGAAAAAUGACAAAAUAAUCAGUACGGUACCAAAAUUAUGAGUCUGUAAAGAACA